rnacentral:rRNA from 1 species
UACGGAGGAUGCAAGCGUUAUCCGGAAUGAUUGGGCGUAAAGCGUCCGCAGGUGGCUAUGUAAGUCUGCUGUCAAAGCGUCUGGCUCAACCAGAUAAAGGCAGUGGAAACUACAUAGCUAGAGUAAGGUAGGGGUAGAGGGAAUUCCUGGUGUAGCGGUGAAAUGCGUAGAGAUCAGGAAGAACACCGGUGGCGAAAGCGCUCUGCUGGACCUAAACUGACACUCAGGGACGAAAGCUAGGGGAGCGAAUGGG